GUGCGGGGGGGCGGGACGGAGCGGUACGGAGGGUGCGGCGCGGGGGGGGGUCUGCGGCACGGCCCCGUGAGCUCACCGCUUGGGAAGGCUUCUGGAGGCCGCUCCUCCUAGGAAGGCUUUCAGUGCCCCAGGGCUGCGUUCCCCCGGCCAGAGCUCCCGGCCCGGCUGAGCCACGGCUGCUGGGAGCCUGCCCCCGCCGUGCUGGGGAACCGCCCGUCCUCGCUACGGGAGGUAGCGCCGCUCACCUGCGAGAAGACGGGAUCGAGGUUAGGGGUUCUCUACCUCGCCUCUGAUCCGGGACCGGCGGGACUGGGGCGCUGGGGAGGAUCUGCCCGCUCCCGAUUGCCAAACUGCUAAGUGAGAUAAUGACAAGAGGAAAAGGAUUGACGAAUAGUUUGGGUGGGGACAGGUGAUUUCAGGAGUAAAUAUGCGCGGCGCGGUUGGGCAACGAGAGGUGGGGGAGCUGAUAGCCGCCUGCAGAUGUUUGGGGAAGGUAAUCCCCCGGCCGGGGGCGGGGUUUGCUCGGAGCAAAAAGGCAUAAUGAAGAGCAAUGGGAUUAAAUGAGUGAGAGGGACGCGUUUAGUGAGAUUACGGGGUGGCAGACCCCCAGACCCUCCCUGGUGCCGGAUCAGUAUAACAGAUCGUUCGGCUCACUGGCUGCAAGGAGCGCAGCAGGCACGGGACACCAGCUCCUGCCUCUGCAGCGAGCGGGAGGCUCCUCUGCCCCCAGCACAGAGACACCUCUCAGGCCUGGGGUCAGCCCGAGCGGGGCCCCUUAGCCUUGUGCCUUAAGAACCGAGCCUUUUCCCCUCAGUGGGAGCAGGGGGAGACGCACCUCAGCACUGGCCAGGUGGCUGCCAUCGCACGGACAGCAGGUAGGUGGUCACCAGUGCCACGGCCUGGGGCAGCCUUCUGGCGUGCCUGAUAGGUUGCCACAUUCCUGUAUUCCAAUCAGCCCGGAGAUUUUACAGCCUUUAAAGUCUUUAGUGAGUUUCUUCAAAGAUGAAAUGCGCUGCUGCAAACACGCCUAUGCCAGCUCUCAAUUGGAGCUGGAGUCCUGUCUCUUUGAAGCUGGGUGAGCGCAUGUCCCCAGGGCGGCAGGACUGAGCUGGACGGGGUCUAAUAGCAGGCUGUCAGCUCCUGAUUCAGCGCUGCCCGGCAGCGGCCAGGACGCCCAGUAACGCGUGUUCACUUCUGAAGGAAGACUGUACCCUGAUCCCUGGGUUCAGGCUCACCCCACAGCAGAUAGUGCUCUUGUUUAAAUUGCUGUUGAUGCCUUCUCCAGACGAGACGCCCGAACAACGCAGCUACCACCGGAACAGAGCAAGACAACUUGUUUAUCAGACAGAGGAAUGCUCCUCAGCAGCGCAGGGCAGGAGGAAGAGGGGGCUGCCGUCUCCAGGCCCGGCGUGGGCAGUUCAGAGAUGGCCUGCAUUGUUCUAAAUCAGGAUAACAAGGCACUUCCGCAGCCCCUUUCCUGUGGGAAUCCCAACAGGUUGUUGUCCUCCCCCUGUAAGAGGGGAAGUGUGGCACCACGGGGUGAAACAUCCCAUCUGUCAGAUGUCUGCACUAAGUAGUAUGUUCUUCUCUCCACCUUUGGUGCUUUUCCUAGCCUUGGGUGCCAGCCUUCACCUCUUCUGCCUUUCCUUCCAUGGUAGAUGCAAGCAACGUGCAAGAUAUCUCCUAAGAAUGGAGAAAUGAGACAGCUCAACGCUGCAAUUUAGUAACAGAAGUAAAAGGGGACGUUAAUGGAAAACGACUGCAGCUCUGAGUAAGACCCAAGAUAGGAAUUUCCCUUCUCUGUAAGAAAUCAGCUCAGAAUCUGCUGAUUUGAGGGCUUGGGAGACAAGGGAAAGGAUAUGACAAGCUCAGUGGCAGCCUCUCUUCCUAUAAACCAUAGAGCAAGCCAGGAUAACCAGCAUGCACUUAGGCUGUGUCAGACGGACCGACCUUGCCUUUCUUCCACAGCGAGUCCUAUAGGGAGAUGAACCCAGCCAGAGUGAUUCACUGAGCCCUUCCGGGUCUGUGCCCAGCCAUCCUCUGGGACAAGCACUGGAGAGGGCAAAGCAAGGGCCAGGCUGGGGCACAACAUCAUGCUUUUUAGGACCCUGUUCCUGCAGGUCUCUCUCCACAGAGAAUGAGGCUUGAGAAGGAAGGAAGGUGCAGGUGCAUGCCUGGACCUCAUCCCAGUCUGGCUUUGGGUGUAGAUGGAGUGACUGCUGCCAGUAGGGAGGGUCACUUCUGCACACGUAUAGCCCCAGCUACCGAUUUCUGAUCACCUAAAGGCAGGAGAGAAUCAUGCUCUUGCAGUUUGAAUGGCUUGGUGGCAAGAUGUACACUCAUGUAGCCAGCAAAUUCUGGCAGCGAAUGUGGAUGCCAGUAUAUAAAGAGAGGAUCCUAUCAAUGGAACAAAAGGGUGUUGGUGCUUUUUCCAGUGCAGGCUAUUUGGCUUUGAAUACUGGUAAAAGUUGCACUAAUAAAAUGCCUCUUUUGUGUGCAGACUCUA